rnacentral:lncRNA from 1 species
GAUUUUCGGGGCUCUGCUACAUCUGCCUCCCAGAUCUUCCCACUUAAUCUCUUGACCUGUGUAAAUCUCAACCAAGCAUCAUCAGGAGAACUUAUUACAUAGCUUCUGAUUCAGUAUGUUGCUGAAGAGCCAAGGACUGUCCAGUUGAAGCAAUCUCCCUGAUGAUACUGGCACUGCUAACCCCAGGACCACACAGACCAGCAAUGCCUCACAAGACCUCUGUGCUUCUUUCAAACAUUAUAUUCUACAAAGUCAUGUCAAUUGCUUUACCAGUCAUGUGGCUUGAAUAAAGAGUAGCAGCCAUGGAGCAUGGGGUGAGAAGUCGCUGGAAGGACAAGUUGACAGAUAGGACUUGGGUCGCUGGGUCACCGCGAGGCGUCGUGAUCUGGACUCAGACAGGGCGAUUUCCUCGGUGAUUUUAAUCUUUUCGUCUGUUCACACGCCAUGCCACCUGGACAUAAUGCAGAGAAAUCUGGAGGCUUAACAAAGUUUUCCCCUUGCCCCAAAGCUCACCCAGGGAAGAGGGGAGGAGACAGGGAAAGAGAAUUAACCCUUUCCCUGUCGUCUCCAGCCAGGGCAGCAAACCUGGCCCCGCCUUGCAGACAAUUCCAGAUCUUUGAGUAAUGAGGGGCUUGUCUUCAUAGAAUCUGUAAAUAAUAUAAUUAGUUGCCCCCUUUCUGCUGUACACACAUGUAAGUGGGGGCUUUAUCAUUUGGGGGCUGAACUUCAGCCCAGGUUUUGAUUGAUUUUCAGUUCUCUUGUUGUAGAUUCUCAGCAAAACAUUUAUUUGGGUUUUGGGGGUUGGGGUGCAGAGAGAAAGGGUGCUGAGGAAGAGAACUACCAUAAAGGAAAAUGGUACUGUCUUCCCCAUUCCUGUAGCCAAACAGUUUGCUUGUUUGAUUUCCCCAUAAGGUUCU